rnacentral:rRNA from 2 species
AGCGGCGGAUGGGUGAGUAACACGUGGGUAACCUGCCUCUAAGCAGGGGAUAACAUUUGGAAACAGAUGCUAAUACCGUAUAAAUCCUAAAACCACAUGGUUUUAGGCUGAAAGGCGGCUUCGGCUGUCACUUAGAGAUGGACCCGCGGCGUAUUAGCUAGUUGGUGAGGUAAUGGCUCACCAAGGCAAUGAUACGUAGCCGAACUGAGAGGUUGAUCGGCCACAUUGGGACUGAGACACGGCCCAAACUCCUACGGGAGGCAGCAGUAGGGAAUCUUCCACAAUGGACGCAAGUCUGAUGGAGCAACGCCGCGUGAGUGAAGAAGGCUUUCGGGUCGUAAAACUCUGUUGUUGAAGAAGAACACGUUUGAGAGUAACUGUUCAGACGUUGACGGUAUUCAACCAGAAAGCCACGGCUAACUACGUGCCAGCAGCCGCGGUAAUACGUAGGUGGCAAGCGUUAUCCGGAUUUAUUGGGCGUAAAGCGAGCGCAGGCGGUUUUUUAAGUCUGAUGUGAAAGCCCUCGGCUUAACCGAGGAAGUGCAUCGGAAACUGGGAAACUUGAAUGCUGAAGAGGACAGUGGAACUCCAUGUGUAGCGGUGAAAUGCGUAGAUAUAUGGAAGAACACCAGUGGCGAAGGCGGCUGUCUGGUCAGUUAUUGACGCUGAGGCUCGAAAGCAUGGGUAGCGAACAGGAUUAGAUACCCUGGUAGUCCAUGCCGUAAACGAUGAAUACUAGGUGUUGGAGGGUUUCCGCCCUUCAGUGCCGCAGCUAACGCAUUAAGUAUUCCGCCUGGGGAGUACGACCGCAAGGUUGAAACUCAAAGGAAUUGACGGGGGCCCGCACAAGCGGUGGAGCAUGUGGUUUAAUUCGAAGCAACGCGAAGAACCUUACCAGGUCUUGACAUCUUCUGCUAUUUCUAGAGAUAGAAAGUUCCCUUCGGGGACGGAAUGACAGGUGGUGCAUGGUUGUCGUCAGCUCGUGUCGUGAGAUGUUGGGUUAAGUCCCGCAACGAGCGCAACCCUUAUGACUAGUUGCCAGCAUUAAGUUGGGCACUCUAGUAAGACUGCCGGUGACAAACCGGAGGAAGGUGGGGACGACGUCAAAUCAUCAUGCCCCUUAUGACCUGGGCUACACACGUGCUACAAUGGUUGGUACAACGAGUUGCGAACUCGCGAGGGUAAGCUAAUCUCUUAAAGCCAAUCUCAGUUCGGACUGUAGGCUGCAACUCGCCUACACGAAGUCGGAAUCGCUAGUAAUCGCGGAUCAGCAUGCCGCGGUGAAUACGUUCCCGGGCCUUGUACACACCGCCCGUCACACCAUGAGAGUUUGUAACACCCAAAGCCG